rnacentral:rRNA from 1 species
CCUACGGGAGGCAGCAGUGAGGAAUAUUGGUCAAUGGACGAGAGUCUGAACCAGCCAAGUAGCGUGAAGGAUGACUGCCCUAUGGGUUGUAAACUUCUUUUAUAAAGGAAUAAAACGAGGCACGUGUGCCUUUUUGCAUGUACUUUAUGAAUAAGGAUCGGCUAACUCCGUGCCAGCAGCCGCGGUAAUACGGAGGAUCCGAGCGUUACCCGGAUUGAUUGGGUUUAAAGGGAGCGUAGAGUGGUUGUUAAGUCAGUUGUGAAAGUUUGCGGCUCAACCGUAAAAUUGCAAUUGAUACUGGCAGUCUUGAGUACAGUUGAGGUAAGCGGAAUUCGGGGUGUAGCGGUGAAAUGCUUAGAUAUCACGAAGAACCCCGAUUGCGAAGGCAGCUUACUAAACUGUGACUGACAUUGAUGCUCGAAAGUGUGGGUAUCAAACAGGAUUAGAUACCCUUGUAGUC